UCCAUGUUGCUUCUCCCUCACCUCCGU
rnacentral:piRNA from 1 species